GGGCCGGUGGUCUAGCCUGGUAUGACGCCGCCCUCACACGGCGGAGGUCGGCGGUUCAAGUCCGCCCCGGCCCA
rnacentral:tRNA from 1 species